rnacentral:lncRNA from 1 species
AAAAAGCCAGACGAAUUUGUAAUUCUCUCUCCUCUCAAUGCACACCUCUCAUUCACUCUUGCCUCUCCUUCAUUUGACCAUAAAUGCCAUUACUACACUGAUCAUAUCUUCCGCAUCACCGUUUCAAAUCGUCUUCCAUCAUACCCUUAAUUUGUGCUUUAAUUUAUUAACUAAUUAAUCGUUGACAAUCCAACACCCACACAACGUGUCAAAUAAAUUUUUCUCUCUAAUUCUCCUCUCAGUAACCCUAAACUAUUCUCUUCAACUUAAAUCCUUGGUUACCUGCCGCCACUGGACAAAUUUCACAAAGUAUUUCAAUUUUAGGAGAGGGAUAUGAGGCUAAAAAUCAUCAUGUUCCUAUCCUCAGUGCUUUUUCUCUAACAAAUGCAACAAUGAUGUUUUCGUGAAAAAGGAACGUGAUUCAAAUGAUUAAGCUAUAAUCAAAUAUUUCAUAUUCCUUGGCUUCUUGAAUCAAAUGACGAGGAUGGAGAAAGUGAAUUCAAGGGAAAUUGCAGGAAUUAUAUUUGGGAUCUUUUUCAUAUAAAAGUGGAUUCCAAAGUAAUUGAUAGAAUGACAUAUGGCUUCAGGUGAUUACAUUAGUGUUCUCACUUUUUUCAAAUUGCUUUGCUAAUUUCUUGAUUUGUCGUCUUAAUAACAUAUUUAGGAUGAUUUUGAAUGAGUAGCUUUAUUAUUAUAGCAACAAAUAGACCACCAGUUCCUCAUAUGUAAUGUUAUUAGUAAUUACUUAUUGUGUUACAUUUCUGAUAUAUAUAAUUUGAUGCUUUAUUUUGUGUUAUUGGUACUAUGCUUGAUGAGGAUGUACCACAGUAUCUUUUGUUUUUGAGGAAUGAUGGAAUGUUUUCUCAUAGGAUCAUUGACCUACAGAUGUUGAUAUAAGUUUUGUAUUUCUACAUCAUUUUAUUCUAUUUAUUUAUUCAAGUUUUUUGGUAAGUUCUUGGAGGUUCGUUUUGAUCAAAAUUGAAGAAUAUUUGGAGCUACUAUCAUAACAUAUUUGUUAGAAUAGUGAAAUUAACAGUGCUUUUAUAGCAUUGCGUUGCACCACAAGAAAUGAAAGAAAAAAAGUUGGUGACCUCAGAUUUUUUGGUGAAUGUGACUUACCAUUUUUCUACAUAGUGCUCUAUAUUUCUUCAUUCUUAAGAUUUUUUACAUAUUUUCUCAUGACUUUUCAUAUUUUCUUCACUUCAAAUUUUAGCUUUCUACAAAAUAAUCAUUUAGACUUUUAGACACGACAUAAUGGCUACACUAUAUGUUGCAGAGUGCGAUUUUUAGCACAUGAAUAGGAAACUACAUAAGGUUAUUCUCAAAACUACUUGAGCGAGUUAUUGUGUAGGCGAGUGGUUCAAGUCAAUAGGACACUUGAAUGAGUUUAUUGUUUGUGAAUUGAAACAAAAGAGUAGUCUUUUAAUUGUUUCUGCCAUAAGAUGAAAGGUUUUUUUCCAUAUGAGAAAAGUGUCUCACAAGCUUUGUUCUAAUUUUGUUAGUUACCAAAGCUUUAUUUUUUUUAUCUGUUGUGCAUCCUGUGAAAUUUAUCACAAAAACAUUGAUCUUUACAUUGUUUUUGGUUUGCAAAAGGUUUAGUCUACCGUGCAAGCAGCAAUUUGUCAAACAGUGGCACAUGCUUCGUAUCAUAAAUGCUUUAAUGGCUGUAUUUAAUAGGAACGUUGCUUGCAGCUUGAUUUUUUUUGAAAUGGCCAAUGUUAUUAACCACUUGAGUUGAGUCCAAUCACUUGAUUUAGAUCAUUCCUUCAAUACUUUUAGAUUCCCAUGUAUUCUUACUUCCUUUAUGAAUAUGGUAUCUAUAAUCUAUAUAUCUAUAUAAUCACUAACUAGCAAAAGAUCAUACACAAAAUGCUGCUACUCCAAAAUGAUAUAGCAUUUUGCCCUUUUAAUUUCAAGUUCAGUAUCUAUUCUCUAUGUUGUGAUUUAUUGAUUUAACACACUUCAACUAGAAUACUCAUGCCUCUUUUUAAACCGGUUGGCCAUAGCAAUGGAAGCUCACAAGAGAAUGACCACUUUAUCUAUUUAUUAGUUGCAUUAUUACAUGUAUUUUUGUCAGUUUAGAUUCAUUAAUCAAACCAUUUUAAACAAGUGGUUGUUUGUGGUAAGACCUUAUUGUAAUAGGUUGAGCUACACCUUGGUUGGCAACAACAUGCUUUGAGAAUUAUGCGAGGCAAAUGCCAUUAGUAAUUGCUUUCUCACCUAUAUUGGAACUUGCUGUUAGGGGGAACUUGGUAGGAAAACCAAUAUAGUUAUGAAUAAUGAUGUCCUCACAGUAUUUGUAGAUCGGUGCUCGACAAGUUUGUUGCUCAAGUGGUUUGUGUAUCAUCAUAUGUAGCAUUGGCAGCAUUUCACAAUGAAGGAUUUGAAUAAUACUGUAUGUCAUUUUGUUUUAUUUAAACUUAAUUUUAUGUUUAGAUAUAUAUUCUUCUUACACAUUAUACAUUUGUCUUUGAUGGAUACAUGAUAUAUGGCUUAUCUUAAGCUUUUGAAAGAACUGACAGUUCAACUACUAUCAGUAGUGGGAGUUAGUUUUUUAUUGAUCUGUGCUUUAUGUUCAUUAGGAUCUCGCGUCGCUGCUCCAACUCCAAAGUCAUCUAUAAAUAUUAAUAAGCCACACCGAUUUGAAUCUCUCUUGCCACGUGGUGUACUCAAGGUAACCAUGCCCUCACAAUGAUUUAGCCUUCAAUGCCAUAAUUAGCCCAAUUUUUAAAAGAAAAAAAAUACACUAAGACGUUUUUCAAAUGCCUAAUCUCACCCAAUAGUUCGUCG